AAGCACAGAGAAGAUAUAUGUCUUCUGGAGGAAGAGAUGAAGGAAAAAGGAGAAAGGUCUAACACUCUUAGCUCAGCUUAAUGAUUUGGAGAUUCAUCCAUAGUAUCAGUUUGAGACUACUGUGAAUAUAGCAGCACUGAAUGAUGAACUGAAUGCUGAGUUGGGUAAAUACCCAGGAAUGGAACAGCUGAAUCAUAUGCCCCUACUAAAUAACUUUGAACAAGUAUGUCUAAUAUCAAUUAUUUCCUGACCUCAAGAAGUAACAUCUGCAAACAGAGAAAACUCAGUCUCCAAUCACCAAUUUAUCCUUACAAAUUAUAAAUACAGCAUGGGAAUUUAAUGUGAAGCUCUUUAGUACCAUAAGACCAUUUAACUACAUCAGCAAUUUAAAAUAUGCACAGCUAUAUAAACAAAACUAAUCACUGAAAGAAGGGAAUACUACAGAGAUGGCCAAAUAAGGAGGAAAAAAAGAACUCUUUCCUUUUAAUAUCACCUUUGAGAGAAAUGUAUAAUGAAACAGGCUGAAGGUAUGCAAUUCUGAAAUUUAAUACUACUUCUCUUUAUUUAAAAUUAUAUUCCCCAACGUAUCCCAUCACAGCUUUGCUGAUUCCUUCUAAAUUGAAAUACAAUUUUUCUCUGAUCUUUGAUUUAAAGGAUGUCAAACUUCUUAUAAAAAGAGUUACUUGGCAAAGUUCAAGGCAAAAGAGCUAUUUUAAAAUGUUGCUCAUAUCAGAAGUCUGUUUGGAUACUUCGAAAGAGAAAUCCAUAACUGAAGUACCUUUGGUGGCUCUUUGGAAGAAAAGAAAAAAGACCAGACAUUUUAAAUGAAAAAUGUUCUUACCCAGUGAUUCUUUCAUCUCUAUAUGCAAGAGAGAGACUGGGAUUCAAAAAGUUCAUCUGCAACAAAGCCUCACUCUGACCCAUUUAGCAGUUAUAUCAGCCUGCUACCUGAGGUUAUGUAAGAGUUUCCUUCCAUUUGGAAGAGUUCCUAAAAUGGGUACUGUCAAAGCCGGUAAAACUGAAAUCUGACCUACUUUUUUCAAAAGAUUUCCAUGGAUUUUAUGGCAAGUGUAAUUCCUUUUACAAUUGGAACUCUCCUCCUUUCAAAUAAACUGUGUUAACUGAAAUAUGCUAGCAACUGCCUUACUUUUUAAGGGUUAAAAUAUAAAUCCAUAAAAUACAUACAUA